UACGUAGGGGGCAAGCGUUGUCCGGAAUCAUUGGGCGUAAAGCGCGUGUAGGCGGCCCGGUAAGUCCGCUGUGAAAGUCGGGGGCUCAACCCUCGAAUGCCGGUGGAUACUGUCGGGCUAGAGUGCGGGAGAGGCGAGUGGAAUUCCUGGUGUAGCGGUGAAAUGCGUAGAUAUCGAGAGGAACACCUGCGGCGAAGGCGGGUUGCUGGGCUGACACUGACGCUGAGGCGCGAAAGCUAGGGGAGCGAACGGG
rnacentral:rRNA from 1 species